rnacentral:rRNA from 1 species
UGGGGAAUAUUGCGCAAUGGGGGGAACCCUGACGCAGCCAUGCCGCGUGAAUGAAGAAGGCCUUCGGGUUGUAAAGUUCUUUCGGUAUUGAGGAAGGUUGAUGUGUUAAUAGCACAUCAAAUUGACGUUAAAUACAGAAGAAGCACCGGCUAACUCCGUGCCAGCAGCCGCGGUAAUACGGAGGGUGCGAGCGUUAAUCGGAAUAACUGGGCGUAAAGGGCAAGCAGGCGGUUAUUUAAGUGAGGUGUGAAAGCCCCGGGCUUAACCUGGGAAUUGCAUUUCAGACUGGGUAACUAGAGUACUUUAGGGAGGGGUAGAAUUCCACGUGUAGCGGUGAAAUGCGUAGAGAUGUGGAGGAAUACCGAAGGCGAAGGCAGCCCCUUGGGAAUGUACUGACGCUCAUGUGCGAAAGCGNGGGGGAGCAAACAGGAUUAGAUACCCUGGUAGUCCACGCUGUAAACGCUGUCGAUUUGGGGGUUGGGGUUUAACUCUGGCGCCCGUAGCUAACGUGAUAAAUCGACCGCCUGGGGAGUACGGCCGCAAGGUUA